rnacentral:rRNA from 1 species
CAAUAGCGUAUAUUAACGUUGUUGCAGUUAAAAAGCUCGUAGUCGGAUGUCGGGCUCGGGCAGGCUGUCGGCUUCGGUCGGACGGCAGGCUCGGGUCUUUCUGCCUGAGGAUCCAUCUCAUUCACUUGGGGUGGGGACGCAGGCCGUUUACUUUGAAAAAAUUAGAGUGUUCAAAGCAGGCCUACGCUUGAAUACAUUAGCAUGGAAUAAUGGAAUAGGACUUUGGUGCUAUUUUGUUGGUUUAUGGGACCGAAGUAAUGAUUAACAGGGACAGUUGGGGCCGUUUAUAUUUCGUUGUCAGAGGUGAAAUUCUUGGAUUUACGAAAGAUAAACUUCUGCGAAAGCAUUCGGCAAGGAUGUUUUCAUUGA